rnacentral:lncRNA from 1 species
GGGUGUUAAAGGCUAUCGUGCUGAUUACUUGUUGUGAAACUUAGGAUUUAGAACUGUAAGUUUCUGUAUAUUAUUAAUGAAUAAGUGUUCCUUUUAUAUAAGAGUUACAAGAGAGAUAAAUGAAAAUAUAAGAAUAGGAAAGAUUACAAAUCAUAAAUAUAAGUAAAUUAGGAAAACUAGAAGAAUGGAAAGUCUCUUGGCCGCCUCUCUCUCAUACUCGGCCGACUUUCUCUCCUCUCUCUCUCUCCUGCGGUUUGGACCUCUAAUAGAUCGGACCGGUUAUGGACAUCCAUCAAUUGAUUUAUAACACUCAUAGAAUUUUUUUUGGAUAAAUAGUUUAUUCUUUAUUACAAUUUAAAUAACAUAAUGUCAUAAGAUGGCUAGUUGGCUACACAAUUGGUGGUUUUUUUCGUAACACAAACCCACGGCUAAUUUCUCUGACAACAACGGUGAUUGUUUAGAAAUUAAUAUAUAGAAAGAUCAAUGAUUCAUAUAAUUUUAGAAAAUUGCCGAAAAUACC